rnacentral:lncRNA from 1 species
CUGGAAUACAGAAUAACCAACUGCUAUAUACAUUGUGACAUUCAAAAUGGAUACAACAUAUUUACUAAUACUGGCAAUGAUAUGUGUAACAAUUUUAUUUCUUUACAAUGUCUUGUGGGACUGGACACCACCAAAUUAUCCUCCUGGACCCAAACCUUUACCACUGAUUGGAAAUCUCAACAUUCUGGAUAUAAAGAGACCAUAUUUAACACUAAUGGAG